rnacentral:rRNA from 1 species
GACGUAGGGCGCGAGCGUUGUCCGGAUUUAUUGGGCGUAAAGAGCUCGUAGGCGGCUUGUCGCGUCGUCCGUGAAAACCUGCAGCUCAACUGCAGACUUGCGGUCGAUACGGGCAGGCUAGAGUUCGGUAGGGGAGACUGGAAUUCCUGGUGUAGCGGUGAAAUGCGUAGAGAUCCGGAGGAACACCAGCGGCGAAGGCGGGGGCCUGGACUGGUACUGACGCUAAGGAGCGAAAGCGUGGGGAGCGAUCCGG